GAUACCAGGGUCAAAAGGUCGUGCUUUUUCAUGCUUGCAUGAAAAAGCAUGACUUUGGGACCCGCAAAACAUGAGAAAGUAGCCCGAUCAGGGUGGAUUUCGAAUGUUUUCAGGAUUGUGAGAGCACAUUGUGCGGAACAAUCCGUGGUAUC
rnacentral:sRNA from 1 species